GAUGAACACUAGCUACAGGCUUAACACAUGCAAGUCGAGGGGUAACGAGAGGAAAGCUUGCUUUCCUUGUCGACGACCGGCGCACGGGUGAGUAACGCGAAUCCAACCUGCCCCCAACUAGGGAAUAACCUUGCGAAAGUAAGACUAAUACCCUAUAAUUUCCUCAGAUGUCAUCUGACGAGGAAUAAAGAUUUAUCGGUUGUGGAUGGGGAUGCGUCUGAUUAGCUUGUUGGCGGGGUAACGGCCCACCAAGGCAACGAGCAGUAGGGGUUCUGAGAGGAAGGUCCCCCACAUUGGAACUGAGACACGGUCCAAACUCCUACGGGAGGCAGCAGUGAGGAAUAUUGGUCAAUGGGCGGAAGCCUGAACCAGCCAAGUAGCGUGCAGGAUGACGGCCCUAUGGGUUGUAAACUGCUUUUAUACAGGAAUAAAGUUAGCCACGUGUGGUUAUUUGUAGGUACUGUAUGAAUAAGGACCGGCUAAUUCCGUGCCAGCAGCCGCAGUAA
rnacentral:rRNA from 1 species